rnacentral:rRNA from 1 species
GACGAACGCUGGCGGCGUGCUUAACACAUGCAAGUCGAACGAAGUGGCGAACGGGUGAGUAACGAGUAACCAACCUGCCCUUCAGAGGGGGACAACAGUUGGAAACGACUGCUAAUACCGCAUACUGAAGGAGGGGAUUGCGUCUGAUUAGCUAGUUGGAGGGGUAACGGCCCACCAAGGCGAAGAUCAGUAGCCGGUCUGAGAGGAUGAACGGCCCCAUCGGGGCUGAGACACGGCCCAAACUUCUACGGGAGGCAGCAGUGGGGAAUCUGCCGCCAUGGACGAAAGUCUGACGGAGCAACGCCGCGUGAGUGAUGACGGCCUUCGGGUUGUAAAGCUCUGUUAAUCGGGACGCGGUACCGGAAUAGAAAGCCACGGCUAACUACGUGCCAGCAGCCGCGGUAAUUC